rnacentral:rRNA from 1 species
UGCCAGCAGCCGCGGUAAUACGGAGGAUUCGAGCGUUAUCCGGAUUUAUUGGGUUUAAAGGGUCCGUAGGCGGGCUUGUAAGUCAGUGGUGAAAUCUCACAGCUCAACUGUGAAACUGCCAUUGAUACUGCAGGUCUUGAAUUUAGUUGAGGUGGGCGGAAUACGAUAUGUAGCGGUGAAAUGCAUAGAUAUAUCGUAGAACACCGAUUGCGAAGGCAGCUCACUAAGCUAAUAUUGACGCUGAUGGACGAAAGCGUGGGGAGCGAACAGGAUUAGAAACCCCAGUAGUCC